GGCAGCAGUGGGGAAUUUUCCGCAAUGGGCGAAAGCCUGACGGAGCAAUACCGCGUGAGGGAAGACGGCCUAUGGGUUGUAAACCUCUUUUUUCAGGGAGGAACAAAAUGACGUGUACCUGAAGAAUAAGCAUCGGCUAACUCCGUGCCAGCAGCCGCGGUAAGACGGAGGAUGCAAGUGUUAUCCGGAAUCACUGGGCGUAAAGCGUCUGUAGGUGGUUUGUUAAGUCAACUGUUAAAUCUUGAGGCUCAACUUCAAAUCAGCAGUCGAAACUAUCAGACUAGAGUAUAGUAGGGGUAAAGGGAAUUUCCAGUGGAGCGGUGAAAUGCGUAGAUAUUGGAAAGAACACCGAUGGCGAAGGCACUUUACUGGGCUAUUACUAACACUCAGAGACGAAAGCUAGGGUAGCAAAUGGGAUUAGAUACCCU
rnacentral:rRNA from 1 species